rnacentral:rRNA from 1 species
AUGAGGGCUAUUGAUCUAGUUCACUCUCUCAGAACAGACCACUUGCACUUGUUGAACUCGACUCAUAUUGUGCUACUCCCUAAGAAAGAUGCCCCCGGCAGCCCUUUGGACUACAUGCCGAUCAGCUUGAUGCACAUCAUUGCCAAGAUCAUUUGCAAGCUGCUUGCCAACAGAUUGGCCCCGGAGCUCGAUUCUCUGGUUUCUCACUCCCAAAGUGCCUUUAUUAAAAAGAGAUGCAUUUAA